rnacentral:rRNA from 1 species
UACAGAGGUCCCGAGCGUUGUUCGGAAUCACUGGGCGUAAAGGGUGCGUAGGCGGGUCUUUAAGUCAGGGGUGAAAUCCUGGAGCUCAACUCCAGAACUGCCCUUGAUACUGGCGGUCUCGAGUCCGGGAGAGGUGAGUGGAACUGCGAGUGUAGAGGUGAAAUUCGUAGAUAUUCGCAAGAACACCAGUGGCGAAGGCGGCUCACUGGCCCGGUACUGACGCUGAGGUGCGAAAGCGUGGGGAGCAAACAGG